GGGCGUCUCGAUUUUCUCGCGUAUUCCGUAGAUAUGUGGGCAGGUGGUGCUCCAUGCGGUUUAGGUGAUUCGAGGCGGGUAGAUCCCUGCUUGCUUGUGUGGCGCUUGCUCAUAGAUCACAUGAGCAGCCUCGGGUUGCCGGGAUUAGUGUUCUUGGGAUAGCUGAUUUUUUAGCUGAAACAUCAUAUAGCUGACCACUCUUAUGGAUUUGAUUUUGUUCUGAUGUCCCAUGAUAGCUAUGGGAUUGUGAUGUUGCCACUCUGAUUGUGUCUCAGAUAGCAGAUGAAUCGGUGAGUCAUGUAGAUGCUUCUAAAACGCGAGUCACUUGGACUGAGCAUCCACGGCUGCUCUUAUUUUUCCGUUGCGUGGUUAAUGCAACUCCAAGUGUUUUACCCUGUUAAAUUUACUUGCUUAGCUGCCAGAUUUUUCCGUCAGCUGUUCAGACACCCUGAACUCUGAACUAAACCGAUGGUUCAAAUUUUGUUUUUGGAAGCCAUGGAGCAGAGGGAGCAGGCACAGAAGGUGGCGCUUGAGGCCUUGCGGAACGCUUCGGCGACGGAGAACGUAGUUAGGAUCUACAAGUAUGUCCAGCAAUGGCGCCUCUUCUUCCUAUGGCAAUUUGACACCGUCUUGACAGAGUGGCUUGUCUGCUUGAGCCUGCAUACCACGAUGGCCUGCUUGCUCGAUGCACGCGUCCGUUGGUCGUAGGUCAGGCCCCUCUAGAUCCCACUGGGAAGCUGCAGCACUGGAUGGAUGAGAACUACGUUUACAAUUGCGAGCACUUCAAGGUAUGCAUGUGCCUCUCCCUCUUCCACGGAUGUCAACAUGUCGUUUUUUUAUAAGUUUGAGACACAGUCUGAUCUAUGUACUUUGUCCCUUUUUCCUUGGAAAAACCAUGCAUUCUGCGAUAAUGAGCAUAUAGUGUCGAACUAUUAUUAUAGCAUUGCAGUUUUGUUCGAGUCCAUGUUCCCUACCAUCAUCUCAUAUAGUGUCCUCAAAUUAGAUCGAUAGUAAUGCAAUUUUCUAGAUGUGCAACAAAACUAUGUUGUUUGCACCUAUUGACUGUUGAAUCCCCAAGAUCAAUGCCCGUACAAGAAGCUUGUGAACCCUAAAUUCUUUCUUCGUAAACAUAUUUGAUCACAUAGUUUUUUUUUGUAAAUUCCGAACAUAAUACUUGGAGAAAGGAGGAGGCGGCACAGAGAGGGUCCUCACACAGUCGUGUGAUCAACCACGACGACAUGGCCGUACGGUUGGUACCCACGGACGCCUCUCUCCCGGGCCGGAGGAGGAGUCCAGAUCCGGCACCUCACCAAGGUCGGCGCUGCACGGUGAGUGCAACUGCCUUGAGAAACCCGACCCGGCCAUCUUCUCCCCCGAGUUGCUGCCGCGGCGAACCCUAUAGGUGCCUCUGCGCUCCAGUCAAGUCUCAUGUGUGCGUUGAUUUAAGUCAGUCUUCACAUCAUAAACCUUUUAACCAACAGCAAUUGGUUGUGUGGUUAUAUCCACUAUUCAAACAAUAUUAUUUUAAAACUUCCUGAUUUACAGUUAACUUAGUUUAUUGGCUGGCAGGAGGAGUGUAAUGUUGAGAUCAAUGUCGGGAUCCACAGGUUUCUAUCACGUAGCAUCAGAUUAAUAUUGCCAAGCCUGAGCUGGCGGUUCAUAUGGAAGAUCCCAUGGGCCAGCAGCUGGAGCCUGGAAGCAGAUGUUAAUGCUCCAUAGCAGAGAGUUUAGGUUUACAGCAAGCAGCGACUACCAAAUUUUGCAUGUAGGAUAUAAACGAGAAAUUGUAAUGGAGAUGGUUGCCAUCAGUUCCAUUUUGUUGCACAUCUCAAGCCUUGCCACUCUGAUCGUCGCACUGGCCAGAUCCGGCCGGGGGAGCCGCCAUAGAGCCGACACAUCAGCGGCACAGCAGCAGCCCGACAGAAGGUGGGUGCUCGAGCUCAUCCAGCAGCUCGUCAUCGACCAGGAGGCCUCUACCUCGACUGCAACCGUCCGUGGAUCUCUAUUGCAAGCACCUUGUAUCUACUGAUGUUCUUCCGCCCAUCUAAAUUCCACAUGUUUUCUUUGACGGGAUCUAAAUUCCACAUGUUGUUAUAUGAGUGGUACAGCUGCAUGGAUUGGCGAUAUUAUUUUGGCUUGGAUUCAAUGGGGCAAUCUGGCGAUAUGAGUAUUUGUACAAACCUCCGAGGACCUCAAGUUCACAUGGUUCAUGCUUCUUUACGUAUGAACUCUACAUAUGACAACCAGCAGAUCAAUUGUUUCAGGCCUGAUGAGUAUCAAGCAGAUUGGGUUCUCCAAGGAAUGCCAAUACGAAUUCACUUUUUGCAACACACAUGCUCAGCCAAUUGGGCAGCCAGCUGGGAGGUAGACAGUACCUUUUUCCUCUUUCACAAAUAAAAUAUUUUGAUACUCAAGAUUGGAUAUUUCUCCGGUGACAUUGCCGGCGUACACAACAUUGUUGCCGGCGUACACAACAUACCUUAUUGCACGGGGAUUUCAUCCCUGAAGUAAAUAUUACGUCAGAACUGAAUAUUACAUCCGAAGACUGAAACAUCCACAAAGCUUGUUGAGACUAUUCAUUUAUGGUGUUUCUCUACUACACGAGGGAGGGCUUCGUGAAUGACAUGGCGGAGAAGAUGUCAGUGGUGGAAGCGGACAUGUUAUAGAAGAUGUCGUGGGCGGUACCGGAGGAAAUGGUCAAAUGCGGUUCCUCGAAGCCGACAAGAAGGAUGCUGCAGCGGCAUGUAUUGGGUUCCAUUUCCAUCCAGAGAAGGACUUAUGAACGGUAUGUGUGCAAUCCAUUCGUUCUUUCCUUUGAUCCUUCAUUAUUCCCCUCAACCCAGAUUUAUUUUCUUUUGCACUUACGCAUGGUUUUUAUGGAUCAAUAAAUUUAGUGACAUUAAUGGCAAUGAGAAUAUCAUAUAUCCAUAAACUUCACAUUGUUGUUUUUCAGCAGAAUAUGAUGUUCAUCUCUUUUUCAUAUGGACUGCAAUAUGGUCGAUGGUAGCUUGCUGAAUAGGUUAAGCGAGACACAAGACAUAAUUUCAUUCCGAGAGUUUGACUUGCUGAAUAGGUUAAAAGCCUACUGCAAAAAAAUUGGACGCCAAGUUUAUAAGGGUUACAUGUAUGCAAUUUACAUGGGUCUAUCUAAUGUUAGAGUUUAAUGCCUCUAAUUAUUUGUAUUUAUGUAUUCUAGCUAUGGAUACCAGUAGCAUUAGUUCUUUUAAUGUAUUGCAUUUAUAAACUUUACUAUUUAGAUACUGUAUAUGAGAAUAUCAAGUAAUUAUAAAUGCCAUUUAUGAUCACAAACGGUCA